GAAGAUGACUAUGAAGUCGUCCAUGGGGGCCGGGCAAGAAAUGAGGAAGGGCAGCAAGACAACUACCGCGGCUCGGGCGGGCGAGAGGACGAAGAAUCUCCAGGACAUGAUCACGACGGUGAUGUUGUACACAGUCAUCAUGUAGAAGAUGUCGGACAUGAUGAUGAGGAAGAUGUCGGAGCAGACGAAUGGCAUGAUCAUGAAGAUCUAGAUGCCGGAGGAGCAGACGAUGAUGGACCAUCGAUGGGCUGGGUGCAGGACCCUCAUAUUCAAGAGCUUCUUCUCAAGCAGACGGAUAAUGCAAGAGCUGCCGCC
rnacentral:rRNA from 1 species